AACCACCCAAAGAACACCAAGCCUGAGCCCAUGCUCCCUUUACUUCCUGCCCUAGACCCCCGUUACCUCCUGCCGCUGCAGGGCAGGUGCAAAGGCCACAGCAGCCCAGGGCGCGCUCUCCACGAGGUCUCAUGCCCAGGUAAGAGGGAGUCAGUGGGUAGCUGGGGCAGGACUUGACUCUCCCUGCAAGGGCGGUGCCAGACCUAAGGCACAGGUCUGCGAGAAGGAAGCUCAGCUGUAGGCCCAGGGCUCUGUAACCUCGCCAUGUUUGGCAGAGGGCCACACUCUGCAUCUGACACCACCAGCUCCACACAGAUUCCGGGUCGCUGGUGCACAAGGUACUGUUGCAGUGCACAGGGUGGCGAACACCAUCCUCUCCAGCUGCUGGCUAUCUUUUUAUUGUUUGAUAGGACGGGUCGAAUGCUUCCUUAAGAGAAGGAGUGUUUUAGAAGAGAUUCGAACUCUGUACAGGGCUGGGGAAGUUCAGUAUCAAUGUUCACACUGAAAUUCCUGCCAGCAGGAUGGAUGCCCUGGGGGCACUGUGUUUUUCAGUAACACGUGCAAAACCCAGGCCCACAGACUCCAAUAACAUGAGUAUAUCAGCACCAUGGUGUGCACCAACGCCAUCAUGCACCAAAAUGUAUAUGUACCAGCAGCACUAUGGUGGCCCACAACAUGUGUGUACCAACAUGUUGUACAUGCAGUAACAUACAUGUGCACCAAGACCAGUAUACAAUACAUGCAUCGGUACCUCAAUGGCUAACAUAUGUGCUCCAACAACGUGGUUCCCUUAACUGUGUACACAUCACCACAGUGCCCACCACGUGUGCAUCUGUAGCCAUACAGACACCUGCGCGUGCCUUAAGACCAGAGCAACUGCAUCCACGUGCUCCCCAGCACUGAGCAAUCUGGAGACAGACAGGUGUGUACCAGGAUGCCAUUGCACCAGCGUAUAUGUUGGGCUCAGCACUGAACUAAGGGUCAAGACACAAACUGUCAGAUGUCCCAGGAUUUGUCCUCAGAACUCGGGCCUGGAAGGUGAAGAUCUAUAAGAUAAGGGCCACGCUAAAGUCCCCAAAUCAAUGUGUAAAAACCACAUGGAGAUGUAAUGAUAAAAUAGUAGAAAUGAUUGCUUUUCUGAAAACUAAGCCCCUCAAACAGCAGUGGCUUUGGUUUGAAGUAACCUCAUGAAACAAAGGAGGGGGCUUGCAGAGGCAUGGAGUAGGUACAGCAAGCAGGUCCCCGCAUGGACAAGCAGGGCCGGGGCUGUGCACUGUGCCUGUGCUCAUAGGAGUCAGGUCAGUUGACACUUGGAAAUGUGUGACAUCUGAAAACUGAGGCUCUGGGGGAGUCACACUUGUACCCCUCAGCUCCAGAACCUUCACUGCUCACCCCUCCCCCAUGCCAAGCUGCUGCCUCCACCCUCCUCGGAGAAGGCCGCCAUCGGGCAAGUGCUGAGACAUAGGCCCCGCCUUCCAUCUGCCCCACAGAGACAGGCCUAUGGCUUUCUAGCUUGCUCCAGAGCAGCCUAGGCUUCCUUGGGGCAGACCCCCAAGGUCUCAUGGCCUGUGGGUUGAUCUGGCCUGUUACGUGCACUCCCACAGAGGUCCAUCUGGUCCACAAUGUGACAAACACUGCUGACGUCAUGCCGUCAUCAAAGCCAUAACCAAAGCAAAGGGUGACAGUGACUGCCUAACCUGUCCUAACCGUCCUGUGGGCGGAGCAUCCGGGAGCACCUCCAUGUUCUAAGCACCUUCUCAGAAGCACGCGUGCUGAGGGCUGACUCCAUUCUCCUGGUGACUGACAUGCAGCACUGCCAUCUCCUCGUCUCACACUAAGGAACCUGCACUUAGGGGACAGGUGGGACAGGGAUGUAGAAGACAAAGCAGCAGCUACUUCCUUGGAGCCACACUCAGAAGCAGGAUGGGGCCUGAUGGGACUGCCGCGCUCUGGCUGCAGGUAACUAAUGUAACUGGAAUUCCAAGAAUAGUACCAGCUCACAGAACAGGCUCAGCACCCAGUGUGGGUGAGGCCACACCAGGAGCAGCAGCCAUCAUCUUGAGAGAACCACCCUGUUAGCACCCAGAACCUGCGGCAGAUAUGGGCGGGUCCACAGACCUGUCGCCAAGGCAACGGCCACCAUAUUCCCAGAAUCCAUUGGGUUCAACUCCCACCUUUACCUGGACUGCUAUGUCUCGACAUAUAUAUGUGUGUACUCUCCUCCAUCUUUCUCUCUUCUUUUCUUCUCUCUCUCUUCCCUCUCUCUCCCUGCGCCACUACCCCCCUAUUCCCCCUUAAUUAAACCUCUUACACGUGGA